rfam:Danio rerio chromosome 11, GRCz11 reference primary assembly.
UAAGCAUAAUUUUACAUGUCGCUUUGGAUAAAAGCGUCUGCUAAAUGACUAAAU